ensembl:lncRNA
GAAACCACCGUGAUGGUGAGUCACUUCAGCCAUACAGAAGAUUUUGGGUAUAAAAAGGAAGAAAAGAGUGCCAGAAGGAAGCAAGGACUAAGAAACUUAAACUCAAUCAACUAGAGGCCAUAGAGAACCCCAAGCCCAUUCUUCCCAUCAAGGACAAAGGAGGCCCCACAGGAAGGGGAAAAUCAAGGAGCAGAGUUCAGGGACCCAGACAGGCCUGCUUCCAUUGUGGCGCCAUGGAUCAUUGGGCUAGAUAUUGUUGCCAAACAAAGGUCAAUGACAAUUUGGUGAGUGGCGGGCAGUUCGCACUUAUCCGUGAAGUGACAUCAUCAAGAGGCAGAGGUGUACGGGGGCAUUCAGACCGACGACGGGACGCAGGAGCAGGCCAGGUCCAACGAGAGGGUCUUCGUUCGACGCAUGCUGCUGCUUUACUGUGCUUCUGAUUAUCUCGCAUAUCUCGUCGCUUAGUUGCUACGUCGGUUAAUACACACCAAGAGGUCAUAACUUCGGAUUCGUGCUGGUCGGCCUACUACUUCUGGUCCGGGCAAGUGAGCGCAGAAAGCCGUUAAUUUCGGUCCCCGGUAUCCUCAACAACACCACCAAGAAGUUCCCAACACGGACAUCCGCCUGGUUCUACAAACCCUCGCCGAGUUGGUGCAAAGCAUUUGGCGCCAGGAUGGACGCCGUCGAAACACCAUGCGGAACUCCCGGACGGGUCCAGGCCCCCAACCCGCUGUCGUCAGUCGCCACGGCGCCUUUCUACUUCCAGCAACCAUCAGGCUCGGCUUCCUCCGCCUUCACAGGCUACGCACCUGGUCUUCGUUCGACGCACCUCCAUCCACCCCACCACCACCAGGUCGGCCUCAGUCUACUUGUCCAGGGGAAGGCUCCGCCCCUGCUAGUCCUGGCAGGAUACGCCGAGUCCGCACGUCACCCUGGAUCAGUGACGAGGCUCAUGCCAAAGAUUUACCAUGCAAAAUAUUCCCAUGUCGUUAUUUAAAUAAAUCCUGUUCAUACUUAUCGGUGAUCGAGUCUUAAUGGGAGAACAUAAAGAAGCUGGCAGCGUUUUUGGCCCUAAAAGCGCCGAGAGCGUUUUUUCUAUCGCCUAUCAACAAAUCCAUUCUAGACCCGACGUUACUCGCCUACUACGUAUCCAGGCUAGAGCCCAUUAGACAUGUUGUAGAUCUCGACAU